AUUAAGGUGUCUGAUUUAAGUAGUAAACUGUAAAUUUAUUUAAGAAUUUAUAUUCCCUUGAUA
rnacentral:tRNA from 1 species